AGAACGAACGCUGGCGGCAUGCCUAAUACAUGCAAGUCGAACGAACACUUCGGUGUUAGUGGCGCACGGGUGCGUAACGCGUGGGAAUCUGCCCUUGGGUUCGGAAUAACAGUUGGAAACGACUGCUAAUACCGGAUGAUGACGAAAGUCCAAAGAUUUAUCGCCCAGGGAUGAGCCCGCGUAGAUUAGCUAGUUGGUGAGGUAAGGCUCACCAAGGCGACGAUCCUUAGCUGGUCUGAGAGGAUGAUCAGCCACACUGGGACUGAGACACGGCCCAGACUCCGUACGGGAGCAGCGAGAGGGAAUAUGGACUAAGUGGGCGACAAGCCUGAUCCAGCAA
rnacentral:rRNA from 1 species